ACUCAGGUGUUGUUGGGUAGGGGAGCGUUCUGUAAGCCGUUGAAGGUGGCCUGUGAGGGUUGCUGGAGGUUAUCAGAAGUGCGAAUGCUGACAUAAGUAACGAUAAAGCGGGUGAAAAGCCCGCUCGCCGGAAGACCAAGGGUUCCUGUCCAACGUUAAUCGGGGCAGGGUGAGUCGACCCCUAAGGCGAGGCCGAAAGGCGUAGUCGAUGGGAAACAGGUUAAUAUUCCUGUACUCGGUGUUACUGCGAAGGGGGGACGGAGAAGGCUAUGUUAGCCGGGCGACGGUUGUCCGGUUUAAGCAUGUAGGCGGAGAGUUUAGGUAAAUCCGGACUCUUAUUCAACGCUGAGGUGUGAUGACGAGGCACUACGGUGCUGAAGUAACAAAUGCCCUGCUUCCAGGAAAAGCCUCUAAGCAUCAGGUAACAUCAAAUCGUACCCCAAACCGACACAGGUGGUCAGGUAGAGAAUACCAAGGCGCUUGAGAGAACUCGGGUGAAGGAACUAGGCAAAAUGGUGCCGUAACUUCGGGAGAAGGCACGCUGAUGGUAAGUGAAACGACUUGCUCGUGGAGCUGAAAUCAGUCGAAGAUACCAGCUGGCUGCAACUGUUUAUUAAAAACACAGCACUGUGCAAACACGAAAGUGGACGUAUACGGUGUGACGCCUGCCCGGUGCCGGAAGGUUAAUUGAUGGGGUUAUCCGCAAGGAGAAGCUCUUGAUCGAAGCCCCGGUAAACGGCGGCCGUAACUAUAACGGUCCUAAGGUAGCGAAAUUCCUUGUCGGGUAAGUUCCGACCUGCACGAAUGGCGUAAUGAUGGCCAGGCUGUCUCCACCCGAGACUCAGUGAAAUUGAACUCGCUGUGAAGAUGCAGUGUACCCGCGGCAAGACGGAAAGACCCCGUGAACCUUUACUAUAGCUUGACACUGAACAUUGAGCCUUGAUGUGUAGGAUAGGUGGGAGGCUUUGAAGCGUGGACGCCAGUCUGCGUGGAGCCAACCUUGAAAUACCACCCUUUAAUGUUUGAUGUUCUAACGUAGACCCGUAAUCCGGGUUGCGGACAGUGUCUGGUGGGUAGUUUGACUGGGGCGGUCUCCUCCCAAAGAGUAACGGAGGAGCACGAAGGUUAGCUAAUCCUGGUCGGACAUCAGGAGGUUAGUGCAAUGGCAUAAGCUAGCUUGACUGCGAGCGUGACGGCGCGAGCAGGUGCGAAAGCAGGUCAUAGUGAUCCGGUGGUUCUGAAUGGAAGGGCCAUCGCUCAACGGAUAAAAGGUACUCCGGGGAUAACAGGCUGAUACCGCCCAAGAGUUCAUAUCGACGGCGGUGUUUGGCACCUCGAUGUCGGCUCAUCACAUCCUGGGCUGAAGUAGGUCCCAAGGGUACGGCUGUUCGCCGUUUAAAGUGGUACGCGAGCUGGGUUUAGAACGUCGUGAGACAGUUCGGUCCCUAUCUGCCGUGGGCGCUGGAGAAUUGAGGGGGGCUGCUCCUAGUACGAGAGGACCGGAGUGGACGCCAUCACUGGUGUUCGGGUUUGUCAUGGCCAAUGGCAUUGCCCGGUAGCUAAAUGCGGAAAAGAUAAGUGCUGAAAGCAUCUAAGCACGAAACUUGCCCCGAGAUGAGUUCUCCCUGACUCCUUGAGAGUCCUGAAGGAACGUUGAAGACGACGACGUUGAUAGGUCGGGGUGUGUAAGCGUAGCGAUACGUUGAGCUAACCGAUACUAAUGAACCGUGAGGCUUAACCUU
rnacentral:rRNA from 1 species